rnacentral:rRNA from 1 species
AACGAACGCUGGCGGCAUGCCUAACACAUGCAAGUCGAACGAGACCUUCGGGUCUAGUGGCGCACGGGUGCGUAACGCGUGGGAACCUGCCCUUAGGUUCGGAAUAACUCCCCGAAAGGGGUGCUAAUACCGGAUAAUGUCUUCGGACCAAAGAUUUAUCGCCUUUGGAUGGGCCCGCGUUGGAUUAGCUAGUUGGUAGGGUAAAAGCCUACCAAGGCGACGAUCCAUAGCUGGUCUGAGAGGAUGAUCGGCCACACUGGGACUGAGACACGGCCCAGACUCCUACGGGAGGCAGCAGUGGGGAAUAUUGGACAAUGGGCGAAAGCCUGAUCCAGCAAUGCCGCGUGAGUGAUGAAGGCCUUAGGGUUGUAAAGCUCUUUUACCCGGGAUGAUAAUGACAGUACCGGGAGAAUAAGCUCCGGCGAACUCCGU